GAAGAAAGUUUUCAAAACUUGAAAGAAUGUUCAACAACACCUUCGUUAUUAACCUUUUUAUGAAGGGAUGAUACACAGUGUUUUGUGACAUACCGAAAAGUUUACUUGGGAUGUGUUUUAUGCAAUAUGGUAAGUGAGUCACUUAUGCUUCUAAGCAAUUAAAGAAGUAUAUUUUAAAUCAUUUGUAUAAAAUAAUAAUAAUAAUAAUAAAGUCAUAUUAUUUCUAAAAAAUUUCUUGAUUUUACAUCGAGCUGUUAGGACAGAUGCUCUCUUUUUUUUUUUUUUUUUUUUUUAAUGAGAUCUCGGCCGCUGGAGGAAGAUGAUGAUCAGGCGACUAAGAAAGUUAAGCAUAGAGAGGAGGGAGAGUUCUGGGGGAGUAGUGGGGCAACGGAGUUCCCUUCUAGUGGGUUGAAUAGCUCUUUUAAGGAAUGUCUUUUGAAUGGUCCAAUGCAAGAAGGGGUAGAUGAUAACUUGAUGGAGGAUGUUGAUAUAGUCGUAAAUGAAUCGAAUGUAGUAGUAGAUAGAUCUGGAGCGACUCCAACUAUUCGUAUAUCAGACCAGCUGAAGCAAAAUUUGGCUAAGCAGUUGAAGCUAGCGAUGGUGAUUCAUCUACUUAGGAAGAAGAUGGGCUAUAAAGCGUUGAGUAUAUGGUUGUUGUUGUUAUGGAAUCUCAAUGAUGCUAAGUUCUUGGAUUUGGGGAAUGACUUUUCCUAGUGAAAUUUAUUAAGGAAAAGGAUUAUCAGAUGGCAUUGCUUGAGGGUCCUUGGAUGAUAAUGGGAAGCUAUUUAUUGAUCUAGCCAUGGACAUCUAAUUUUAGUGUUCGUAAUGUUUGUAUUGAGACGGUAUUUAUUUGGGUGUGCUUGCCUGGGCUUCUGUUGCAUCUGUAUCAUAACUCGGUUUUGCGAGCUAUUUGGGAUGCGAUUGGUAGAGCAGCGAAGGUGGACUAUAAUACUUCAGAUUUACAAAGGGGUAGGUUUGCUAGGUUAGCAGUGGUGAUCAAUCUAAAUGAGCCCCUUGUAUCGAAGUUUGUUUUAAAGAAGAUGCAAGUGGUUGAGUGUGACUCUAUUCUAGAAAUUUGUUUUAAGUGUGGAAGAGUUGGACAUAAAGAGAAUGCUUAUUUUCACCAAAUGGGGGUGGAGCAAGAGAUUCCUAUGCAAAAUGUGGGUGUACAGGAGGAGAAUUCCAAUAAGGUAUAUGGAAAGGAGAUUUGAUAGAAGAGUUUAGACCCAUGCGCAAAUUGCGCCAAGGAGACCCAUUGUCUCCGUAUUUUUUUUUUGCUUUGUUCAUUGAGAGAUUGUCUCAUGCUAUUGGUUUUGCAGUCCAAAGGGGUGUUUGGAAGCCUAUUCAUAUAUCGAAGGGAGGUGCUGUUGUUUCUCAUUUAUUUUUUAUGGAUAGCAUAUGUUUUUUGGGAGGCCUCUAAUUCUCAAGUUAAGAUGACAAAAGGGAUUUUACAUAUUUUUGUGCUCGCUUGAGUUAGAAAGUAAGUUUGAAUAAGUGCCAAGUGUUCUUUUCUAAGAAUGUGGCUUUGAGAAAGAGGAAAGAAUUUAGUAGAUUAGUGGGUGUUUGUGAAACUUCAGAUUUGGGGAAGCAUUUGGGAGUCCGGUUGCUCCACUCUCGAAUUAAAAGGGGAACGUGUCAAUAUAUCAUUGAUAAAAUGCGACAAAGGCUGACUAAUUGGAGUGUAUCACAACUUCGUUUGGUGGGUAGGAUUACUCUAUCUCAAUCUGUGUUAUUUGUUAUCCCUUUGUAUGCGAUGCAAUUGGCGAGCUUCCUGUGGCUAUAUGUAAUGAAGCUAGCAAGUUUUGUAGGUAACAAGUUUGAGGUGCUACAGAUGGGAAGAGGAAGCUUGCGUUAGUGCCUUGAGAGAGUGCAGCGUCCUAAAGGUGAGGGAGGCCUUGGGUUUAAGGAUUCGAAGUUGUUGAAUUUGGCCUACUUUACAAAGUUAGGGUAUGAGAUCUUGAUCAGAAAAGAUGACUUGGGGGUGAAGCUUUUAUGCUUUAAAUAUAAGUUGAGGGUGCAACAGUUCCCUAAUCAGAUUGCUAAGACAAAUCGCUCAGUGACUUGGAGAAGGCUUGCAUUCCAUGCUUAAAGGGAUUAGAUGAUCUUUGGGGUAUGGUACUCGUGCCAAGUUUUGGGUGGAUUAUUGGCUUCCUCACGGAGUGAGGUUAUUAGCCUGUGUUGUUAAGGAAAUUCCUUUAGAUUUCCUAUGCUAUAAGGCUGCUAAACAUGCAGAUGGGUUUAGGGGCUAGGUGUGGGAGAAGUUUAGGGAUUUUUUAUCUGAAGAUGUUUUAUUAUUGAUUGUUGCCACUUUGCCUCCUUAUGUUCUCAAUGGGGUGGAUCUAAGAAAGGGAAGUUUACUGUUGGGAGUGCCUAUCAUGUGCUUAAUGGGAAAGAUGUGGGGUUGAAUCAACGUAUUUGAAGAAUGGUUUGGAAAUUGCAGGGACCGUACAGAAUUAGAAUUUUUCCUUGGGUUGGUUUUAAGCGGCGGUUUGCUCACAUGUGCGGAACGCCUUCAAAGACAUCUUAGUAAGUCUAGUCAAUGCCAAUUAUGUUUUUGCCAAAAGGAAACGCUGGAGCAUGCUUUGAGGGAUUGUGAUUUUGCUAAGUUUGGUGCGUAAAAAGAUUGUGCUAGGGGAGUUGGUCUUGGAAUGGAGCCAAAGUGAGUUGCCUGUGUCAAAUUGAGUGAUUGGUAUCCUAGAGAUGGAAUGGAAGCAUAGUAGUGGAGUGAAAUGGGCUGUGUUGUUUGGUGUGACAUGUUAGGUGCUUUGGAAGCAAAGAAAUAAGGCUGUUUUUUUUUCUAAUGAAGCUAUUGGGGUGGAUGGUGGUUCAUUUGUGCAUUUCCUCAGCAGUAGCUUUUGAGGAAGUUGUUUGAUAAGGUUCCUAUUGGAAUUGUAGGGUAGAGGUGUAAGGAGGAUAGAUGGAUUUGCUUGGUGCCUGCUCCUGUUGAGUGGAUGAAAUUAAAUUCCAAUGGUUCUUUCAAGGGUGAGUCAGGAAACGCUUAUAGGGGAGGGUUAAUUCGAGAUUUGGAAGAGAGGUGGGUUGUUGGAUAUAUUUUAAACUUGGGCGAGAGCACAGUUACAGGGGCAGAGCCUUGGGCAUUCGUAGCUGAUUUGAAUGUUGCAUGGGAUUUCGGUAUUCGGAGGCUUAUUAUUAAAUGUCAUAAUGCUAGUGUAGUUCAGUGGUUGUGUGGGAUAAAGGAAUGAUGGGCUGUCCUAGAUCUCUGUUGGUGGUGAUUAAGCAAUUGUUGUGUUAUAAUUGGGAGGUGAAGGUGCAGCAUAUAUAUAGAGGCUAACAUGUGGGCUGAAAAGCUUGCUGAUGUUGCUGGGAAUUUUCCUUUGGCAGUGCAUAUUUUGUCGUUCCUGCCUAAUGAGAUCAAGUCUUUGUUAAGGCAACAUAUUAUUGGAGUGGCUCAGUUCAAAGUUGUAGGGAUGUAGAUCUUUUUGAGCUCUUUUUUUCUUAAAAAAAAAAAAAGAGAAAAAAUCUUGAUUUUCUUGGGCAAUAAAAUAUUAUGGAAGGAAAUCCUUAAAUACUA